GUCCUGCCCCCUCACCGGACGUUGACAGGAAUUUCACUUGUUAUUGGCGUGUAAAAGUGUCAAUCAUGUGGAAGGGACCUACGACUCACGGGUUUGCACGGAAGGGGGCGUGACUUACAGGCUAGGGAGGCGGGGCUUCGCUUAUAGUCGUCUUAAGUGUGCCUGAGGAGCCAGGGACAGACAGAAGUUCUCGGUUCGGACGAACUUGGAGAAGCGGUAUUACCUUGGGGUUUUUUCGAUAUUUGAAAUAACAAAUGCAAAUUUUGUUGGCGUCGUGACACUGAGCUGCUACUUUAUUAGGCUCUCAGAAGCCUACUCAGUUCUCACCUCAGUACUUUUAGGUGGUAGGAUCCACGUUCCUUCCCGAACUAAAGUGAAGCUAAGGAACCACUUAAAGGAAACAAGGUAAUGACGCUGGAGAAGAACCCAGGUGCUCUUUCCAUCGCGCCACACCCUCCUCCAAGGUCGCCCAGUCCUGGUCGCUCUCUCGGGAGGACAAUUAACGAAAAUUAGGAGAAGGGGAGGAGGAAGAGCCAGAAGAUUACAUUGCAGAUUACAUUGGGCGGAUCAAAGGAAAGAAUUCAUCUUGCUUCUAGAAAGCUGCCGGUGAACUGGCUGAUUCUGUAAUUCAGUUGAUGAAUGGAAUGGAAGCUGGUAAUCCACAGAAGGGUUGGAUGUUUGCAGGGUACCUACUGUGAAGCUGUGACCCUGGCUGGGUGCAGUGGCUCAUCUAUCAUCUCAGUGACUCGGGAGGCUGAGGCAGGAGGGUUGCAAGUUGGAGACCAGCCUCAACAACUUAACAAGAAAGACUGUGCCUCAACAUAAAAAAUAGAAAGGACUGUGGAUGCAGCUCAGUGGUAAAGUGCCCCCGGUUCACCCCCGGAACACAAAAUAAUAACAAACUAACGCUUUGGGGCCCCCUGAAAGUCUGGGUCCUUGGCCCGAGGGCCUCCUCCUGAACCUGGAGUUCCCAGCUGGGCGCUCUACACCUCCUUGGUAUCUGACUUCUAGGACAGUUGGCCAGCUGCCGGACACAGCCAUUUGUGGGAGGUGCCUGUGAAGGCGGGCUCUGCCCUCUGCACUCUCACCUUCCCAUUGGUGUCCCUCAAACCGCCUGUGGUCGGCUCCUCCUGGUGCCUUCCCUGGACGCCUUUUUUUUAGUGUUUAUUUAGUUGUAGAUGGACGCUCAGUACCACACAGUACCUUUAUUUACUUUUAUGUGGUGUGAGGAUUGAACCCAGUGCCUCACACAUGACAGGCGACACUGGACCACUGAGCUACACCUCGGCGCCCCUUGGACGUCUCAAACAUGCCCUCAUUUCUCCCGGGCUUCUCGGCAGGGAGUCGGUGUACAACAGGAAACUCCUCCACCAGCUGUUGUUUUGAUACCAUGAAAGGACAGGGGACCCAAUCACAGACGCCUAGUGUGGCAUCUGUGUGCCACAGCCUGGAUGUUGAACAGCCCUGUGUUAAAAGCUCGGUCCCCAGAGGGACUCUACUGGGAGAGGGUGGCAGUGUUGGUGGAGGGGGCCAUGGGAGGUCCUUAGGUCAUUAGGAGUGUGCUCGAAGGGGACUGUGAGACCCCAGGCUCUUUCUCUUUGCUUUCUGGCCAUGAGGUGGGUGGCUUGGCUCUGCCACAUGCCCCCCAUGACGUGCUGCCCAGCCACAGCCCCAGAACAACAGGGCAGCUGACCACUGACUGCAGCCUCCCAAGCCGUGAGCCCAAAUAAAUAUCUUCUUUGA